GUUUUUUGGGGAGUUGAUUUGAGGGGCGCUGAUGAAUGACAGCAAUAUUAGAUAUCAGUAGAAUGAUUUCUAUUUCUAUCAGUAGAAAUCAGGGCUGCUGGCAGGAUCUAGAAAGUGAAGACCCUGGGACAGGUCCCUUUCUUCAACAAUUAAGGCUAUCAGUGCUCUCGGCUCUGGGGAGAGAAGGCAGGGCUACCUGGGCUGGGUGGGGGUCACCGUGUCUUCUGUCACCAGCCUGCCCCCGGACAGAACAGCAUACAAAGGGACUAGAGUUCGUGGGACAAGAUUUGCUCUGGGUUGUCCCACCUGUGGAGACUUUGACCUCCAGGAUGUUGAUGAGUCCUGGGGGCUGGUCGUGUACCAGGAUGGACAGGGGCUCCAGAUAGUAGGGGAAACCCAGUGGUGCUGGCCACCUCUCUCCUGUGUUAACUUUUUAAGCCUCACCAUCCCACGGAACACUUGUCUGUGGUAGGGUCUAAUGGAGGUGAAGCAAUAUGGCCCAGAAUUAGGAAAGAAGUUGAUGCUGAGUUGGGAAAUGGGGAAAUGUUCUCCAGAAGAGGAAGAGGCACGAGUGUGCCUUUUGCCCUACUGGGGGAGUGUGGAUCCCAAGAGGGGCUGACAUUUCAUAUCAUCUAGCCUGUGCCCGAGGCCAGCCCAGAGCUUCCUUCUCAGACAAGAUGCCAGGCCACUCCGGAGGAGAGGAUGGUUCCACAGGCUUGAGAUGCAGGUGUUUACCCGAAGAAAAGCACCCAGAAAAACCCUUGCAGGAACUCACAGCAGACUUUCAGAACGGCAAAAGUGGAAACAGCCCAGGUGGCCAUGAAGGGUGGAAUGGCCCAUACCAUGGUGGCAGAUGCUUGCCAUGGGGGACCGUACAGCGGAGCAGGACAGGGAGCUGCUCCCAGCUCAGCCACGCAGACAAAGCUGAGCAAAACAGGCAGACAAGUCCACGUCCUCAACAAAAGUCCACAUACUCCAGUGAGAGAAAGAGGAGCAGUGGCUGCGUGGGGCUCGGGAUGGGGGGUGAGCAGGGAAGAGUACAAGGGAACUUUCUGGGGUGAUGAUGGGGUGUUCUAGACUUUGAUCUGGGUGAUGAUUACACACAGGUGUCCAAACUCCUCCCACGUUCCACUUAAGACCUCUGCAUUUUACGGCAAGUAAAUGAUGCCUCAAUAAAACAUAAUCCUCAACAUAGGGUCCACGUUUGGGUCUGGGGUCCAUGAUCUGCUCUCCUCCCUCUUCUGAGCUGCCCAAAUUUCCCAGGCAGAUGCAGAAGUUCUGAGCAAGUGCGGUGCCUCAUUCCGGGGCCAAGGGCUUCUGAGGCCACCACGCCUGCCUUCCUGCCCACAUCCAUCUUGUUACUGUCGGAGCCAGGGAAUUGCUCCCGAGGCGGAAUCUUGAAUAUUCAUUUGAUUUACGGCCCGCAGCCGACAGCUUUAUGAAUCCACCCACCAAUACCUGCAGCCGGUCAUCAAUCUUCCCUGGAGAUUGUGCUUCUGCCAGUAACUCAUGAAUUAAAGAGGCCCCUGACGGCCCCCACGCCUGCCUCCCCUCCCUUGCUGGGGCGUCGUGAUGGAAGGAGGACCUGACCAGAAGUCAGAACAUUGUUGUCUUGCCGCCGCGGCAGCUCUGAUGACCUUGGGUGACUCUCUUAGUCUGUCUGCGAGAGGAAGAGAAACUUGGGAGCCCUCAGAUCUGCCUCCUCCCGGCCCCGAGCCUCAGUUUCCCCAUCCAUAGAGAUGCAGGGCGCAGCACCACGUCCCUCUGCUUAUCUGGGCUGGGGGCCAAGGCAGGAUGGACUGCCAGCUUGUAUGAAUGUGGAAUGCCUGCCACUAUUGUUAUGAUUAUCUGACUUGGAGAUGUUCGAAGGGACAAGAAAGAUGGUGGUGCUCACGGCUAAUUCCCUAUGGUUUUCUCAUUAACAACAUGCGAACGAAGGCAGCAUUUCCCUCAGGGGCUUUCAGGGGAGACCGUGGGAAGGGGCUCAGCACAGCCCCUGGCACCUGGGGCAAACUCCACAGGGAGUAAAUACUCUGAUUUUACUCCACAAGGAGCAGUGGGGCAGACUUUCUUUCUGGCCUUGGGAAGCAGCUCCAAAGUGUUUCCAUAGUUGACUCCCAGGCAGGUACCCCUGACAGAAAACCAUAGCAGGCGCAGUGUCCUCAGAAGCCCUCAGCCCCGGUUGGGCUGUGUCUGGCUUUCCCGUGAGUCCCCCAGCCCCUGCCAUGGAGACAGCACUCAGUAGAUGCUCCUGGGUUGAGCAAGCCUUUGCCACCAGUAGACACUGGUAACAUUUGCAAAGCAGUUGGGGGUCAGCAGAUGGAGAAAGUGGCGGAGGCAGUGCCUCUGGGGCGGAGCAGACACACCGGGGUUCAAAUCCCACUCUGUCCCUUAGGAUCCCAGUGACCUUGGUUAUCUUGGCCCCCUAAGCCCGGUGAGCAGGACACAGGCAAUGGCUGCCUUAGAGAGUAGACUGGGCUUGGAGAGGCAGCCUGUUGGAAAUGCCUUCUCUGCUGGUACACAGGAGCCCUUGGGAGGGUCAGCUCCAGUGGGUAUCACCAGGCAGUGUGCUGGGCACCAGAGUCAGAGGAGAUAAGGACAAGACAGCUCCUGCUCCUAGGAGGUUCACUCAACAAAUGUUCAUUAGAUGGAUGACAAACAGCUCUUAACACCUGUCCCUGGGUUUUGCCUGUGAAGAGGGUUGUGGAGGGGAACCACCCGCCCCCAGGGACCGGCUCCCACCCACCCCCUCAGCAAGGUGGCAGCCUCUCCCGGGACUGCAGUCUGCCACAGUGGUGGAGGAGCUGCCAUGCCUCGGGGUGCCCUUGUUGGGGCCGAAUGACAGCAGAUCGAUCCUCUCCUCUCCCGGUGUUUCAGCCUCCGCGAUGUGCAGCUGCAGCCUUUCAGCCAGCAUGCAGCUGUGGGACUCUUCUGCGCAACGAACUUCUCCCUGCAGAACUCCAGUACACAUGGGAGACAGUUACCACAUAGAACCUGCAUUUACUGAGUGCCCAGAGUAUCCAAAGCAUUGGUGUAUACCCCUUCUGUGAGUCUUCUCAACCCUGUAAGUAGAAAGAGGGAGAUGAGGCACAGAGAGGUUAAGGGACUCACUUAGGGUCACCCAGCUCAGAAGUGACUGGCUUACAGUGGAGCCCACUUACUCACCCCCAGGCCCACUACAGUCUGGCUCCAGCUGCUGCCUGCUGAUAUCAGGGUUCAAGGUGAGACUUCUCUCCCUGAAACUAACCGUGUGACCUGGGGAGAGUUACUUUGCCACUACGAACCUCAGUCUCCUUCUCUGCAAAAUGAGAAGACUGAGACCUGCCCCCAGUUGGGAUGUUGACUGAAUUGACUAGGAAGAAGCAAGCGCCUGAAGCCCCAGCACAGUGCAGCACUGGGCCAUGGGGUGCUCAGCUGCUCACCCCUCUCUCCCCGCCCCCCAACCCCUUUGAUGUGAACCUGGACUCCCUGUGCACGGGGAGUCAGGGCCAGAAAGAAGGAGGCCAAAGUUUACUGGAAGAAAGGUCUCAGCUUCUGGGAACAGCACUUCCCAGGGGGGCCCGGUUUCUGAUCCAUGGACUUUUCACCUUGGCACCAGCAACCUGACCACGCUGGCAGUGUUUACCCCAUGGGAAGAGGAAAGGCCUAGAAAAGUGCAGAAAGGUGUGCUAGGGCAGGAGGUCAGGGCCAAGGCAGUUGGAUCUGGGUCACCGAGAGCCCCUGGCCCCUGGAGCCUGAGACACAGGUCUCUUUCCCAGUGCUUCAGCCAAGCUCUCUGUCCCCACCCCCCUUCACAUCUUGUUCUCCGGGCUCAAAGAUGCAGAGAUAGAUGAUGGUAAAACCCACUGCCCCUCUCCUAGGAAUCUGCACCCAGGGUGCAGACAAGAGUUAAAAUCCAAGCUCUCACCUUUGCUAGCUGUAAGAACCUCUCUACUGCCUCAUUUCUGGAAUGGAAAUAAUAACUCAAGUCACAGUGUUGAGGAAAGGAUCUAAAGAGAUUGUGCCUGGAAAGGCUUUGACAUACCUUAUCACUCAGUGAGUGGGAGAUGUUGUCACUAUAAUUAUGGAUGCUUAGGAAAUGUUUACUUACUAGAUGGAUGGGUAGGGGAUGAACUGAUAGAUGGUCGGAUGGAGGAUGGAUGACGAAUAGAUGAUGGAUGUAUGGAUGUGUAGGUGGGUGGCUGCAUAGAUAGGUAAAUGGAGAUAGGUGGACAGAUGGAUGGUAGCUAUGCACUCAUCCACUAUCCGUCUGUCUAUUCUCUGUCCACUCAUUCACCCCUCCCAUUAUUCAUCCAUCCAUCCACGCACCCAUACAUCCAUCCUUCCAUUCAUUGAUAUGCCCAUCCAUCCAGCUGUGUAUGUGGGGAGAGUGGGUAGAUGGAUGAACAGGUGAACAGAUAGAUGGAUGAGUGGAUAAACAAAUACAUGGGUGGAUGGCUGACUUGGUGGGUGGAUAGAUGAUGGGUAGAUGGAUGUUCAGAUGGACAGUUCGAUGAAUGAACAGAUAGAGAGAUAGAUGAAUAGACAGAUGGAUUGCUGGAUGGCUGGGACCACAAACUAAAUGCUAAAUUGCCUCCUUCCCGAAGGUGGCAGAAAACAAUUGCUGAAGCUCUCUCCUGAUACCACAUACAUUAACCUGGCCACAGGGGGCCAGAACACUGUAGCCUUCCCGAUCUGCUCAUUAACUGACUCAUGGAGCUUUCACCUAUUCGAAACCAACAGGGUAGCAGCGUGACAUUUCAGAUUUGCUUUCCGUGGCCUUUCACUGAGCACGGCUCACAGCUGUUUGCUGGUCUGCCUUCUCCUCCAAAGGUGCCUUCAAGGGCCCCACAUGCAGUAAUGGAUGUAGCUUCCCCAGAGCUAAGGGGGUUGUGUGCCCUAAAAAGUUGGGGGCUCCUUCUCUCCGGCUGCGUUGCCACAUUCUCUCUGCAGCGGUGCCACCAAUUACCUUAAUUACCUUUCAGUUAGGGGCUUAAUUUACAACAUGGUGGCAAGGAAAUAUUGGAGAGAGAGUUUCCUUGGCAACCCAAGUUUUUAAACAUAAGAUUCUCCAUGUUUUAAAAGCCACUUCUCAUCUAAUUUCCUCCCUGAAAAUUAGCUUGGAACUUUUCAAAUACUGGAAAUUUUAGCCUAACAGCAGGGCAGCACUUACAUCUGAAACCAUCAAAGACCUCAAUUUCUCCCCUGCCAGAGGCGAGACCCUGGGAAGGUGUUUGGUUGCCUCUGCCCCUUUGUUCUGAAACGGCCAUUAAGAAAUGACCAUGGGGAAACUUUUUCUGAGCUCCAAACCAUCAGUCAAACUCUUGACAACAGCCUGUUUUCUAGACUUGUGCUGUUCAAGUUCCUUGUUGGCUGGAGUUUUAGCCAUGAGCACUCGAUUGAUGGCAGACUGCAGAACAACCAGAGGGUUGGGGCCUGUACUCCACGGUGUCUCUGGCCCCCAUAUCCCCAAGUUGAGAAGAACAACACUGAUCACCACCCCCGUGCAGAGGGUGUAGAAUACCAGAGGAGGUUUUGGACAAGGCCACUCUCCCUGGGAGCUCGCUCGUCAUCAACAAGCUUCUCUACCUCCUUGUCUAAUAAAAUCAACCUUUGCUCAGUUA